rnacentral:rRNA from 1 species
AUUGAACGCUGGCGGCAUGCUUUACACAUGCAAGUCGAACGGUAACAGGCCUUCGGGUGCUGACGAGUGGCGAACGGGUGAGUAAUGCAUCGGAACGUACCCAGAGGUGGGGGAUAACGCAGCGAAAGCUGUGCUAAUACCGCAUGUGAUCUGAGGAUGAAAGCGGGGGACCGAGCAGCAAUGUUUGGCCUCGCGCCUUUGGAGCGGCCGAUGUCGGAUUAGCUAGUUGGUGGGGUAAAGGCCUACCAAGGCGACGAUCCGUAGCUGGUCUGAGAGGACGACCAGCCGCACUGGGACUGAGACACGGCCCAGACUCCUACGGGAGGCAGCAGUGGGGAAUUUUGGAGAAGGGGCGCAAGCCUGAUCCAGCAAUGCCGCGUGCGGGAAGAAGGCCUUCGGGUUGUAAACCGCUUUUGGCAGGAACGAAACGGUGUCCGCUAAUACCGGGCGCUAAUGACGGUACCUGCAGAAUAAGCACCGGCUAACUACGUG